rnacentral:rRNA from 1 species
UACGAAGGGGGCUAGCGUUGCUCGGAAUCACUGGGCGUAAAGGGCGCGUAGGCGGAUCUUUAAGUCGGGGGUGAAAGCCCAGGGCUCAACCCUGGAAUUGCCUUCGAUACUGGAGAUCUUGAGACCGGAAGAGGUAAGUGGAACUGCGAGUGUAGAGGUGAAAUUCGUAGAUAUUCGGAGGAACACCAGUGGCGAAGGCGGCUCACUGGUCCAUUACUGACGCUGAGGUGCGAAAGCGUGGGGAGCAAACAGG